rnacentral:rRNA from 1 species
AGAACGAACGCUGGCGGCAUGCCUAACACAUGCAAGUCGAACGAGACCUUCGGGUCUAGUGGCGCACGGGUGCGUAACGCGUGGGAAUCUGCCCUUGGGUUCGGAAUAACAGCGAGAAAUUGCUGCUAAUACCGGAUGAUGACGUAAGUCCAAAGAUUUAUCGCCCAAGGAUGAGCCCGCGUAGGAUUAGCUUGUUGGUGAGGUAAGAGCUCACCAAGGCGACGAUCCUUAGCUGGUCUGAGAGGAUGAUCAGCCACACUGGGACUGAGACACGGCCCAGACUCCUACGGGAGCAGCAGUGGGAAUAUGGACAAUGGGCGAAAGCCUGAUCAGCAAUGCCGCGUGAGUGAUGAAGGCCUUAGGGUUGUAAGCUCUUUACCGGAUGAUAAUGACAGUACCGGAGAAGUAAGCUACCGGCUAACUCCGCGCCAGCAGCCGC